rnacentral:rRNA from 1 species
AUUGAACGCUGGCGGCAUGCCUUACACAUGCAAGUCGAACGGCAGCACGGGACUCGGGCAACUGAGCCCUGGUGGCGAGUGGCGAACGGGUGAGUAAUGCAUCGGAACGUGCCCAGUAGUGGGGGAUAACUAGUCGAAAGAUUAGCUAAUACCGCAUACGACCUAUGGGUGAAAGCGGGGAUUUCGGCAACCGAGAACCUCGCGCUAUCGGAGCGGCCGAUGCUGAUUAGCUAGUUGGCGGGGUAAAAGCCACCAAGGCUUCGAUCAGUAGCUGGUCUGAGAGGACGACCAGCCACACUGGGACUGAGACACGGCCCAGACUCCUACGGGAGGCAGCAGUGGGGAAUUUUGGACAAUGGGCGCAAGCCUGAUCCAGCCAUG